rnacentral:rRNA from 1 species
AUUGAACGCUGGCGGCAGGCCUAACACAUGCAAGUCGAGCGGAUGAAGGGAGCUUGCUCCUGGAUUCAGCGGCGGACGGGUGAGUAAUGCCUAGGAAUCUGCCUGGUAGUGGGGGAUAACGUCCGGAAACGGGCGCUAAUACCGCAUACGUCCUGAGGGAGAAAGUGGGGGAUCUUCGGACCUCACGCUAUCAGAUGAGCCUAGGUCGGAUUAGCUAGUUGGUGGGGUAAAGGCCUACCAAGGCGACGAUCCGUAACUGGUCUGAGAGGAUGAUCAGUCACACUGGAACUGAGACACGGUCCAGACUCCUACGGGAGGCAGCAGUGGGGAAUAUUGGACAAUAGGCGAAAGCCUGAUCCAGCCAUGCCGCGUGUGUGAAGAAGGUCUUCGGAUUGUAAAGCACUUUAAGUUUGGAGGAAGGGCAGUAAGUUAAUACCUUGCUGUUUUGACGUUACCAACAGAAUAAGCACCGGCUAACUUCGUG